AUGGCCAAACCUUCAACUGGUUCUCAAAGGUUUCGUAUCCAGAUUGAAGAGCAAGCUCGUGCUACAGCAGCCACCCAGCAGCAAAACUCGGAGCUCAGCCAGCAGGUCAAUGAAUUUCAAGAUCAACUACAAGCUGAACAUGCAAACACAAAAGAGAGGAUUAACUUGGAGCGUGCUGAGAGAGAACAACUUGAGGAGAGGUUAAAAGAAGAGCGUGUUGAAAGGGAAAGAUUGUUGGAAGGGGAGCGAACAUCAAGACUGGAAUUUGAAAAAAAACAUGAUGACAAAGUCCGUAGCAUUGAGCCAACAGAUGGGAACCCAACAGGUGCCUAA
rnacentral:rRNA from 1 species